GUGGGGAAUAUUGGACAAUGGGCGCAAGCCUGAUCCAGCCAUGCCGCGUGCAGGAAGACGCAUCUAUGGUGUGUAAACUGCUUUUGUACGGGAAGAAACACUCCCUCGUGAGGGAGCUUGACGGUACCGUAAGAAUAAGGAUCGGCUAACUCCGUGCCAGCAGCCGCGGUAAUACGGAGGAUCCAAGCGUUAUCCGGAAUCAUUGGGUUUAAAGGGUCCGUAGGCGGUUUAAUAAGUCAGUGGUGAAAGCCCAUCGCUCAACGAUGGAACGGCCAUUGAUACUGUUAGACUUGAAUUACAAGGAAGUAACUAGAAUAUGUAGUGUAGCGGUGAAAUGCUUAGAUAUUACAUGGAAUACCAAUUGCGAAGGCAGGUUACUACUUGUGGAUUGACGCUGAUGGACGAAAGCGUGGGGAGCGAACAGGAUUAGAUACCCUGGUAGUCC
rnacentral:rRNA from 1 species